rnacentral:rRNA from 1 species
CUGCUGCCUCCCGUAGGAGUCUGGGCCGUGUCUCAGUCCCAAUGUGGCCGUCCACCCUCUCAGGCCGGCUACUGAUCGUCGCCUUGGUAGGCCGUUACCCCUGCCAACCAGCUAAUCAGACGCGGGCCCAUCUCGCACCACCUGGGUUUUCAGGGCAGGGGCAUGCGCCCCCGCCCGCUAUGCGGUGUUUAGCCACCUAUUUCUAACGUGUUAUCCCCCAGUGCGAGGCAGGUUGCCCACGCGUUACUCACCCGUCCG